rnacentral:snRNA from 1 species
GUGCUCGCUUCAGCAGCACGUAUACUAAAAUUGGAACGAUACAGAGAUUAGCAUGGCCCCUGCGCAAGGAUGACACGCAAAUUCGUGAAGUGCUCCACAUUUUU